CCACUGGUCACAUUACGGUUCACGGUCUGUUUAGUGCAGGGAUCCCGAAAGUACUGGUUUCUGAAUUUCUGCACAUGUGUCUGGAAGGGAAGGGAAGUGGGCAGCUGGUUCAGGCCUCUCUGUGACAUCACCUUGGGAGGGCAGGUGCAGGUGUUUGUGACCCACCUGAAACCAAGGCGGUGCUGGGGACACCGUGUUGGCACUCAAGGAAUUAAUGGAGGUGACAAGCAAAGUCUCUGACAGGCAGUGUGACUCAUGACAGCCUUAGACAGCACUGGCCUUAUCUCUUUCUCAGUCUUGGAUCUUCCUCCCUUCACCACUGAGAACGUGGACCCUGCCUCCAAUGCCUCAAGACCCCCUACCCUUCACGGACAACUGCAGCCACAAGGCCUACCGCUGGAUGCUCUGGUCAGCAAAGGCAUCUUGUGCCCCAGAAGGGAAGUCUUAGCCAAGAAUCCAGAUGGGUAGAGGGAAAAUUGUUUUUCCUCUGCCACAGAAGAGUAAAGCUCGGGG
rnacentral:lncRNA from 1 species